UAAUGAUAAUAGAAAAGGAGUUGAGCAGCAACUCAACUCCCAUGUAGAACCGUUUAAGACGGUGGCUCGUUUUAGUUAAAAAAUA
rnacentral:sRNA from 1 species